UACGUAGGCAGCGAGCGUUGUUCGAGUUACUGGGCGUAAAGGGUGCGUAGGCGGUUGUUUAAGUUGGUGUGAAAUCUCCCGGCUCAACUGGGAGGGUGCGCCGAAUACUGAAUGACUAGAGUGCGGGAGAGGAUAGUGGAAUUCCUGGUGAUAGCGGUGAAAUGCGUAGAUAUCGGGAGGAACACCAGUGGCGAAGGCGGCG
rnacentral:rRNA from 1 species